GGAGCAGGCUUAACAGUUACCGGCCACGGUGGUAACCGGAACUUCUGACGUAUAUAGAGGUCGUUGUAGAUCUGAGUUAGCUUCUGCCGACUUUUCUCCUCCAGAAUGUUUAUUCUGCACUCAAGUCUUUCCGCAAGCUUAGAAGAUGAAUCAAUACAGUCAAGGAGUUGUAUAUAGGUUCUGCGAGCGCUGUCGCGCCUACAUUCCUUCAGAUUGUCUGGAGGAGAGUGACUCGAGGCAGACGCCUCUGUAGAACAUCGGUUUGCGUACUCCCGGGCCUGCUGGAGUCCCGUCCAGAGGCGCUGUGUUUCGACUCUCAGUGUUCGCAAGCCUUUGAAGACGCCUUCUAGCUGACCAGGCACGGGUGCGUUUUGGUCUUCUGCAGGUUCAUCCUCAACACCCGACCGAGUGGGUUUUUGACGAGACCCAGUCUUUUUUCGAGGUCGACUUCUUGAAACCCUUUGGGCACUUGUGCUACUGGGUGAGGAUAUGCUGAGUGAAUCGCAGAGAGGCUUCGAAUCUACUGCAGGAAUAGGGGGGACUGUUGAGGACGUGGCUGGGUAUUUCACGCUUGGCGAAUCAUCGGCAACUCUGUUGUAGAAAAACCGGCGGGGCAACCGGCUUCCAGUGAAGCCCUGCAGAUCUUCACUUUUACUCCUUGCACUGCGUUGCUGCUGCGACAGUCCCGCCGUCGAUAUUCGUCUGUCCACAGCUUCUAAUGUUGACUUGAGGCACUGAAUACUUUUGUAGCUUUCCCUAUCGAUCUUGUCCAAAAUGCCUCUCAGUCGGUCUGUUUUAUUCUGUUGGUCCAAAUCCCAGUCAGCCAGUUCCUCAUCCAUGGCUACAGAAUAAUCAUCUCGAGUCACCAUUGCUCCAUCGAUGUUACAUGACCUCAGGUGUUUUUCGUUACGCAGGUCUAUCAUCUCGCACUCGUAAAGGGUAUGGCCAUCCACAAAGCGGCCGAUUAACCAGGAUCAAGCUUGUCAAUCUGGGUUUCACCCGACUUCACAAAGAAACUCAAUAGCAGCCCCCGCUUGUUUUCGCGUGUACGCGGCAUCGCUUUAUGCGUUAAAUAUUCGCAGCAACGUAUAAGGUAUGUUUCUUCAAACAUCAGUAUUCGAGCGAAACUCUUUUUUCAGAACAGUAGUUCCCUACGUACUUCCAAUGUUUCAUAGUCAGCACGCACUUUGAUUCUCGUGCAGAAGCAGACAUUUGCAUGGGAAUUAUAUUCGUCGCACUGAUACCAGUCGGCAUGGGCAGCGGGGUCAGAUUCAUGUAACAGAAAAAGAGACAGGUGAACACCAUACUGUUUCUUCAGUACCACGUAAAUGCACCACCCUCCAGUGCACACGGUCUCCCUUGCGCUCGACUGACG
rnacentral:lncRNA from 1 species